GGCUGAAACUGAUUCCUUUUCAAUCAGACUGCAUCCUGAUUUUACUUCGCUGCGAAAUCAAAACGUUGCAGUGUCUAAUAGUAUAAUGCUUGAUUGCUAGCCCCAUAUUAAUUUCUUUCUCAAUAUUUGUAAUCCAUCGAGAACACAAAUGUCAACGUCUACAAAUUAAAUUCGAUUAAUGAGUGGUGUUCAAUCAUGAGUUCCACAGGGUAUUCGAAUUCGCGGGAACGAGUGAAAAAAUACCGUUUUUUUUUUUUAAUUUGGAGACUCUAAUGAUAAUAAUAGUGUAGACAGUUCUGAUGAGGAUAGUCGUGAUGAAUCAACGAAUUCUUCUGAUACAAACUUUCUCCAAGCACAGAAAGAUGAAAGGAGCCCUAACCAAGCAAAGCCAUCUCAUGAUUUAGAAAAUUGUUCAGAAUCUCCAAGUGGAGUUCUACAACAAGAUACAUUGCUAGAGAGUUUCGCAGGGUGUUCAAGUUUUAUGUCGGUUGACGACGAGGAUGACAACGCAAUAGCACCUGUCAGUCUAGGAGCAGAUGCAGCCCUCAACAGACCGAGCUGAUGAACUCAGGAAUUGAGAUUGAAGCACCUCAGACCCUCACUGAGAAAAUACGCCAUCUGACACUUGACAAUAUAGGCAGCAUCAAGGUGAAAGUGGUGAGUGGAUUUUUAGAAAUUCUACGUAGUAAGGACAUACUGAAGUGCCAUCCACUGCCCAUAAACUUCUUGGCUUCAAUCACGGAGUGAAAACCAAACCGAUGAUGGCGUAUAAAGAUCAGAUUGGGGAUUUUUUUUAUCUUGGAAUUCUAAAUGGUUUGGAGAAACGAAUAGACGUGAAUGUCUACAAAGAAAAAAACAUAUGUACGUGUGUUAGUUCAUAUAGAUGGAUUGAAGGUAUACCAUUAUUCCAAGGGAAGUCUCCGGCUUAUUACGAUGAAGUUGGUGACAAAAAAAUAUGCCUGCAGUCCUUUUGUGGUAGCCUUGUUUUAUGGUAGGUCCAAGCCAAAAAAUGUGAGUGAUUUUUUGGGUGAUUUCGUGGAGGAAGCUAAAAAAUUAAUCCUCGAAGGCAUAACCAUCGAUGGUUGUGUGGUAGAAAAAUAAUUAUAAAUUAUCAACACAACAAUUGAAAGAAUUUUCAGAUUUAAUGAAUUCAAUGAAAGAUUAUGUAACGGCAGAAUUUCAGAGGAAGGAGUUUGAUGUCGAGGAAAUUGGGCAAUGGAAAGCAACUCAGUGUUCAUUUCUACUGCUUUACGCCGGUGGCAUUGUCCUGCAGUUUGUUCUCGAUGAUGACAAAUAUCAACCCUUUCUGCUACUUCAUGUAGCAUGUCGUGUUUUGUGCAGUGAUAAAUUGAUAACCGGGGGUCUUCCCAUGGCAAAGAUUCUAUUGCAUAAUUUCGUUCAACUAAUGCCGAUUUAUUAUGGAGAAGACAGUGUCAUAAUUACAAUUCAUCACCUCAGUCACCUCUGUGAUGACGCAGCUCAUUUUAAAACCUCACUGAGCCACUACUCUUUUGGGGGUAGGAUUUUAUAGGUCAGUUGAAUAAUUUUGCAAGUAGCCGAGCGAAACCCUUGGCUCAAAUCGUCAAUCGCCUCAGUGCUUUAGACUCAUCAGACAGUGCAAAAGUGAGACCUCGUGUUACAAUACGUGAUGUGAAACCUGAAAAAUUGCCUGAGACAAUUAAAAUAAGUUGUGAAGAAUAUUCAUCAGUCAAAUCAGUAACUUAUAAUGACAUGAUACUACAUACUGUGGAACCUAACAAUGUCGGGGAACUAACCACGGAAAAACUCUUUGUGAUUUCAAAAUUAUGGGUUACAUCGAAGUCCCAUCAUAGUGAAAAGUCAACGGACGAUAUUUACUCAGAUGGAUUUAAACUGCACUCCUUAAAUGAUGUGUUUGACGCUCCCUGUGCGUCAAGAGAAAUUGGCAUUUUCGCAAUUGACAAAUUAGCAGGUUCGCAUGAGCUGGUAACCAUCGGUGCUGUGAAAUCCAAGUGUUUAAUGAUGAAAAUCAAAGAAAAAUAUUAUGCUGUGUCCUUGUUGCAUUCAUAACGUCGAUUGUUUCAAUAGUGCAAUUUUGACGGGUAUGAUGGUUUUUGCGGGGGUUUUCGUACAGAGAGAGGAGACGGAUCCAGUGUCAAAUUUUUGACAAACGGCGGUUCAUUUGUAAAUGUUGGUGUUACUGUAUUAUAUAUCCCGCAACAACGGUAACGUGAUAUUGCGUCAUUUUUCUGCACGCGCCAUAACAGCUUGGAUUAAUUCGCUUUUCACGUAUGUAAGUAUUUUUGCCAAUUGUUUAUGAUUCAGAAUGAAGUAUUAUUCUCUUCUCCUCUUUUAUUAGUUGCCUCAGCAUUUGUCGAAAAUUUUACACAUUUCCACAAUCUUUUCAUAUAACCUUUAAAAAUCAUUCCUGAUGAUGUUGACGCCAUAAUUUACUAUGUUGAAACAUUGAGCGAUAAAAAAACUUUAGACAGUUAAUUCACACAUUUGAGAGAAUACUUUUUAAAAAUAAUUCCGCUGAAUAUUACGUCAAUUAAUUAUUCGAAGAAUUAUUGCAAAAUACUUCGCACAUUAAAAGGACCAUUCACUUAAACUGUCUCAUUAAAGUACACAUUUUUUUAUUCAUCUACUUCCUCAGAAUGAGUACUCAAGAGGAAGAUGGCAAAUUGUAUCAAAUUGUGGAGUUCCUGGACAAAAUUACUUAGACUAGGAAAAAACCCUUGAAAUCGUUCCAGCGUCGUGGGCGACCAGAACCGAUGGAAACAACAAUAGUACUUGUGCUUUUCCUCCCCCUGAUAAAUAUUGUAUAAUAGACACAAUAGUGAAAGAUCUCAGUCCUCCAGAAUCAUCGUGGGAGAAAUUUGACGUUGAAAUUCUCACAAGUGCUCGUAUGAAUAACGUUAUACUAAUAUUUUUCACGCAUACCCAAUCGUUUAUCAUCGAAUUGAAAUAAAUGAACCCUUCUUUAUUAGAGAAAACAUAACCUACUCUUUACAGGGAAUUACGACAAGGCCCAGAGGAGGAUCAAAUGUCUUUAUAAAAAAGUGAUAACGUAGAAUCCACAGAUUCAGAUACUGAAACCAAUCGAGCUAGAAAAUUAACCAAAAAUCAAGCGGCAAUGAUGUCAAGGCAAACUUUUUCUCUCUUAGAACAAAUUGUCGAAGAAAGGGAGUCCUCUACGGUAAGAACAUCGAGAAUUCCUGAGGUUGAUGUUUCCAGAAAUAAAAAUCAACCAAGAGAUAAUGAAGCAGCCGGGGCUGGAGCGUCUGAAAGUAGAACAGCGUACAGUGACACAAAAUCAGAGAAAAAAUCGGCAUUGAUAGCUUGCCUUACACCUCUGAAGGGGAGUGCCAUAGGCGAUCCUCUUAAAGUUUUCAGAAUUUGUCAUGGAUUACUGGGAUCCUAAAUUGGAUUUCCUCAUGUACAAACUACGUGACAAUUUCUCACUCAAAACGAUGCAUCCAGUACGGUUAAAAUAGAAAAAUCGAAGAGCUCAAGAUUAACAUGACCAUGCAUCAUGUUGCUGGAGCUGAACCAAUGGCGGGGAGGGAUUAUGUACAAACUUUCCUAUUAAGACUUUGGAAGAGUUCCUCGAUUUUGAGAGGAAUCUCGACCCAAUGCAUGAGGACAAUUUGGCUGACCCUGAAAAGGCUUUGCAAGCGUGUGACACUUGUGAGUUUAUUUGGAAUAUAUUUAUAUUUUGAGGCGUUAUUAUUGACUUUGCCAAUUGUCUGAAAAUAUUUUUGUGGUAUUUUUUUCAGAAAGAAUUUAUGAGUGUGUUAACGCAUAAAGAAUCCAAUUACGCUGUAGACAUUAAGAAGAUCCUCAAGGAAUUAAUGGCCAAAGAAGUUCAACCUAAUUAUAGUGGCGUAGGCCGUGUUGUCAAAGGAAAAGGAAAAAAAA